rnacentral:rRNA from 1 species
CACGUAGGGGGCGAGCGUUGUCCGGAUUCAUUGGGCGUAAAGGGCGCGCAGGCGGCCCGGAAAGUCGGAUGUGAAAACUCGGGGCUCAACCCCGAGCGUGCACCCGAUACUGCCGGGCUUGAGGCAGGUAGGGGAGAUCGGAAUUCCUGGUGUAGCGGUGAAAUGCGCAGAUAUCAGGAGGAACACCGGUGGCGAAGGCGGAUCUCUGGGCCUGUCCUGACGCUGAGGCGCGAAAGCUAGGGGAGCGAAUGGG